GGUGAAUUGGACAGCUUUGGUUUCGAAGAUUAUCUCAAUGUGCCGCAAGAUUCGGAAACCUUCCGUCCAGCAGAUUCACAUCAUGGAAUGGAGGUUCGUCUUGGCCUUUCCAAGGGACCUGCUUCCUCCAAUCUUUUCUGAUCGUCUUCAUGGAACUGUUAUUUGGCUUUUCAUGCUAUGACUUUCUGGUGUUUCUUAUCUAAUGCCAGCUUUAAUUCCGUAAACAUCCUGCUCUGAGUGUGCAUGUGGAAAUGUAUGGUGUCA
rnacentral:misc_RNA from 1 species